rnacentral:lncRNA from 1 species
UGUGGGAAAAACCUCAUUAAAUACAUGUACUGGGAAAUAACAACCCAUAGCUGUUUAUAAUCUUGAGAAUGAGUCAGAUUUUUCAAAGAUGAUAGGUACACAAACUAUGAUGAUUAUAGACAGAUUUCAAAGAACAGAAAUUUAGUAAGAAUUAAGGGGGUCUCAUUUGGUGGUUCUGAUCCCAGAUCCCACUUACUGUUUUGUCAGAUUUCCAUAUCCCGCUUACCCUAUGUACAUAAGCAAUUCUCAUUUUUUUGUAAUUUCCCGUGUCCCGCUAGACUUCAUUUCCCAUUUUCACAGCACAAUAAUUUUACUUUCGCGUGUCAUGCUUUAAAAAAAACGGCAAUCCUGUGUCACGCUUAGACCCCAAUGAGACCCACAAUUAACACUCUUUUGUCUCCAUGUUGGAGGUCUGAGUGCAGGAAUCCUUUAACUUGUUAUACUGACUGAAAACUGAAAAAAAAAAUGUUUUCUGAACAAUUUUAAUUUCGCUUAGCAUUGCUUUAUUCAUCACAACUUUAAGCAAGGAUAUCUUAUUAAACUUGUUUGAAAGGCAUGUUUAUAUUUUGGUUAGUUAUUUAAGAAAAUCAUUAAUUUCCCCCUCUAAAAUGGUGGGCAAGGAAAAUAGCAUAUACUCGAUCUAUGGCAUAUCUAAAGUAACUUUUCUAUUCUGGUGAUCUGCAAGACAUUUUAUUAUAUCUCUUUCCAUACCAUUUAUAAUCAGAGAAUUUCUGAGAAAGGUAAACUGAAUUACAAUCAAGACCCAGUGACAAAACAAAAGAACAUAUUGUUUAUCAAAAACAAAAUUGCAAGCCUGAUUACAAUGAUAUACUCGUAUAUGUUUAAAACAGAUCAUUUAAAGUGAAAGAAAAUAGUUAACAAAGGAAAAAAGGUUCUUAUUUUAAAACAAGCUAUACCUCCACUCCUGAUUUUAGUCUAAGGUUAUUAGUAGCAUGAACUUCAUAUCAGCGUCAUCACAAUUCUUUUAAUAAUUUUUAGUAAAUUUUCUAAGAAUAGUAAAUGUUUUCUCCAUUAUGCUAACAGAUAGAGUAUGACUUAUACUCUUUCAUAGAAUUUUAGUUUUUUAUUUAUUUUUAUGCUGAUGAAUGGGAAUGAUAUUGAGUAGUAAGGAUGAAAGAUGACAGACAAACACUAAUGUCUAGAGGGAAAAAAAGUCAACUUGAGAUGCUCAUCUGAAAAGGGAUUAAAUACUUUAAUGUAUUAAAGGGACAUUACCCACACAUUCGGGUCAAACCAGCGAACAUCAAUUAGAGAGCUAAUACCCUUUUAACCAAAUUGGGAUACAGUUGACAAGUUGACAUCAACUAUCUAAAUAUAUGGUACACAUAAAUACUACAGCUAUACAGUUCUAAGGAGUUUUUUCCAGUUAAUAUUACUUAUACAUUCAAAACUCCUAAUUCUUAUUAAAGUAAUACUGGUGAUAGGCAAAAAGUUUUAAAAUAAAUUAAAAAUAUUAGUAAACAUAACCUUUAUUAGUUAAUCUUUCCAUUGAAUACUAUCAAAUAUUUGAUUCCAUGUCGAAUAAGUGGAUAUGAUUUGAUGUAUUUUGUCUGCAUAAGUACUCAUAAGAUUUCAAAGACCUGAUCCUUUUUAGAGAAUAUGGGAGAAUUUAUGGCACUUGAACUAUUGACAUCUUAUAUGAAUAACUUUUCCUGUCUAGUGUCAAGACAUUUUCUUUUGUAACAUUAAAAUUUGAAGGGAACCAUCAUGAUGUCCAGUAAUAGUGGACAAAUAGGUGUGUUCGUUUGAUGUGUUUGGACUUUUGAUUUUGCCUUUUGAUUUUGGAUUUUCCUUUUUGAAUUUUCCUCGGAGUUCAGUAUUUUUGUGUUUUUACUUUUUUUCAUACAUUGUUG